rnacentral:rRNA from 1 species
AUUGAACGCUGGCGGCAGGCCUAACACAUGCAAGUCGAGCGGAUGAAGGGAGCUUGCUCCUGGAUUCAGCGGCGGACGGGUGAGUAAUGCCUAGGAAUCUGCCUGGUAGUGGGGGAUAACGUCCGGAAACGGGCGCUAAUACCGCAUACGUCCUGAGGGAGAAAGUGGGGGAUCUUCGGACCUCACGCUAUCAGAUGAGCCUAGGUCGGAUUAGCUAGUUGGUGGGGUAAAGGCCUACCAAGGCGACGAUCCGUAACUGGUCUGAGAGGAUGAUCAGUCAAACUGGAACUGAGACAAGGUCCAGACUCCUACGGGAGGCAGCAGUGGGGAAUAUUGGACAAUGGGCGAGAGCCUGAUCCAGCCAUGCCGCGUGUGUGAAGAAGGUCUUCGGAUUGUAAAGCACUUUAAGUUGGGAGGAAGGGCAGUAAGUUAAUACCUUGCUGUUUUGACGUUACCAACAGAAUAAGCACCGGCUAACUUCGUG